CCUACGGGCGGCAGCAGUGAGGAAUAUUGGUCAAUGGACGAGAGUCUGAACCAGCCAAGUAGCGUGAAGGAUGACGGCCCUAUGGGUUGUAAACUUCUUUUAUAUGGGAGUAAAAUGUUCCACGUGUGGGAUUUUGUCUGUACCAUAUGAAUAAGGAUCGGCUAACUCCGUGCCAGCAGCCGCGGUAAUACGGAGGAUCCGAGCGUUAUCCGGGUUUAUUGGGGUUAAAGGGAGCGUAGGUGGAAUGUUAAGUCAGUUGUGAAAGUUUGCGGCUCAACCGUAGAAUUGCAGUUGAAACUGGCAGUCUUGAGUACAGUAGAGGUGGGCGGAAUUCGUGGUGUAGCGGUGAAAUGCUUAGAUAUCACGAAGAACUCCGAUUGCGAAGGCAGCUUACUGGACUGCAACUGACACUGAGGCUCGAAAGUGUGGGUAUCAAACAGGAUUAGAUACCCCGGUAGUC
rnacentral:rRNA from 1 species